rnacentral:lncRNA from 1 species
ACCCCCCUGUGGUUUCACAACUUGCUUAUUUUAAUAUCCUGUGGUUUAAAGUGUAUCAAGUUAGUUCCUGUGGUUUCGCACUUUCUCAUUUUAGUAUCCUGUGGUUUAAAAUGUAUCAAGUUAGUACCUCGUGGUUUCAUUUUUUUUCUUUUUAUUAUCCAUUUCACUAAUUUUUUUCAUUAAAUUAGUAACAAAAUUAAAAACUAAAGGGUACUAAUAUGAAUAUUCGAUAAACCUAGGUAGGGUAUCUGAAGUUUUUUAUAUAUAAUUUAAUGAGAUAUUAACGGAGUAAAAAAAUAAUCAGUGACAAAGUUAAAACUAAAGAGUACUAAAAUGAAUAUUCGAUAAACCUGUGGUUUCGCACUUUCUCACUUUAGUAUCCUGUGAUUUAAAAUGUAUCAAGUUAGUACCUCGUGGUUUCAUUUCUUUUCUUUUUAUUAUCCAUUUCACUAAUUUUUUUCAUUAAAUUAGUAAUAAAGUUAAAAACUAAAGGGUACUAAUAUGAAUAUUCGAUAAAUCUAGGUGGGGUAUUUGAAGUUUUUUGUAUAUAAUUUAACGAGAUAUUAACGGAGUAAAAAAAAAGUCAGUGACAAAGUUAAAACUAAAGAGUACUAAAAUGAAUAUUCGAUAAACCUAGAUAGGGUAUUUAAAGUUUUUUGUAUAUAAUUUAACAAAAUAUUAACAAAGGAGCAAACGAAAAGAGAAAAAUAAAACCACAGAAUACUAAAUUGAUGCAUUUUAAACUACAGAAUACUAAAGUGAGAAAGUGCGAAACAACAGAUUACUAAAUUCAUACACUUUAAAUCAUAUGAUACUAAAAUGAAAAAAUGUGAAACGAGAGGAAUGAUAUUUGAAGUUUUCCCUUAUUUAAAAGAAGAUACAUAUGUUGUGU